CCUACGGGAGGCAGCAGUGGGGAAUUUUGGACAAUGGGCGCAAGCCUGAUCCAGCCAUUCCGCGUGCAGGAUGAAGGCCUUCGGGUUGUAAACUGCUUUUGUACGGAACGAAAAGGCUCUGGCUAAUACCUGGGGCUCAUGACGGUACCGUAAGAAUAAGCACCGGCUAACUACGUGCCAGCAGCCGCGGUAAUACGUAGGGUGCGAGCGUUAAUCGGAAUUACUGGGCGUAAAGCGUGCGCAGGCGGUUAUGUAAGACAGAGGUGAAAUCCCCGGGCUCAACCUGGGAACUGCCUUUGUGACUGCAUGACUAGAGUACGGCAGAGGGGGAUGGAAUUCCGCGUGUAGCAGUGAAAUGCGUAGAUAUGCGGAGGAACACCGAUGGCGAAGGCAAUCCCCUGGGCCUGUACUGACGCUCAUGCACGAAAGCGUGGGGAGCAAACAGGAUUAGAUACCCUGGUAGUCCACGCCCUAAA
rnacentral:rRNA from 1 species